AACCUCGUCGCCUUCUGAGAGUGGUGGCGGUGGAAACAAGAGAAGAAGAAGAGUGGUGUUUCCGGCAAAAGGGAACUGAGAUCUAAGAAGUGUAUAAGCAAAAACGUAACAGAAAACAAUGUGGAUGUAUACUUUGAAACUAAACAAUACAAAAAGGAACUCAAAACAGCCGAUGCCAGUUUGAAAAAAAUUCCAGAUCAUGGAGAAACUUUAUCAAUGAAGGGUUUGACAUUAAAUUGCAUGGAUCGUAAAUCUAAAGCAUAUGAAGUGGUUUGCCAAGGAUUGAAGAGCAUCAAAAGCUAUUGAAAUUCUGGAAGCAUAUGAAGGGGCAUUAAAAGAUUAUCCUCCAGAAAGUGAACGGAUUGAGCAUGGGGAAAUGCUUUUAUAUAUAAGGUUGUUGCAUGGAGUUUUGUUCCUGGUAAGCAACUGGAGCAAAAGAAAAGAAAGAAGAUUGUCAAUCCUACUACACUCGUUGUACCUCUUGCCAAACAUUUAAGGAGAUAAAAGGAUAUAUAUUGUUUACCCGUUUUUGAAAUAUUUUAGUUUAUAUGAUCAUGUACAAUGUGUGUAUAUAUUAUACUCAUAUUUUCUAUAAAGUAAAGCCUUUGGUUUAUACAUUAUAAUUAAAA